UUAGAGUUUGAUCCUGGCUCAGGAUGAACGCUAGCGGCAGGCUUAACACAUGCAAGUCGAGGGGUAACGGGGAAGCUUGCUUCCGCCGACGACCGGCGCACGGGUGCGUAACGCGUAUACAAUCUACCUUGUACUGGGGUAUAGCCUUUAGAAAUGAAGAUUAAUCCCCCAUAGUCUCUUAGAGUGGCAUCACUUCUAGAGUAAAGGUUACGGUAUAAGAUGAGUAUGCGUUCUAUUAGUUUGUUGGUGUGGUAACGGCACACCAAGACUACGAUAGAUAGGGGCCCUGAGAGGGGGAUCCCCCACACUGGUACUGAGACACGGACCAGACUCCUACGGGAGGCAGCAGUGAGGAAUAUUGGACAAUGGAGGCAACUCUGAUCCAGCCAUGCCGCGUGCAGGAAGACUGCCCUAUGGGUUGUAAACUGCUUUUAUACAGGAAGAAACACCUCUACGUGUAGAGGCUUGACGGUACUGUAAGAAUAAGGAUCGGCUAACUCCGUGCCAGCAGCCGCGGUAAUACGGAGGAUCCAAGCGUUAUCCGGAAUCAUUGGGUUUAAAGGGUCCGUAGGUGGAUAAUUAAGUCAGAGGUGAAAUCUUGCAGCUCAACUGUAAAAUUGCCUUUGAAACUGGUUAUCUUGAGUUAUUAUGAAGUAGUUAGAAUAUGUAGUGUAGCGGUGAAAUGCAUAGAUAUUACAUAGAAUACCAAUUGCGAAGGCAGAUUACUAAUAAUCAACUGACACUGAUGGACGAAAGCGUGGGUAGCGAACAGGAUUAGAUACUCUGGUAGUCCACGCCGUAAACGAUGGUUACUAGCUGUUUGGACUUCGGUCUGAGUGGCUAAGCGAAAGUGAUAAGUAACCCACCUGGGGAGUACGUUCGCAAGAAUGAAACUCAAAGGAAUUGACGGGGGCCCGCACAAGCGGUGGAGCAUGUGGUUUAAUUCGAUGAUACGCGAGGAACCUUACCAGGGCUUAAAUGUAAGUUGCAUUAGUUAGAGAUAGCUAUUUCUUCGGACCACUUACAAGGUGCUGCAUGGUUGUCGUCAGCUCGUGCCGUGAGGUGUCAGGUUAAGUCCUAUAACGAGCGCAACCCCUGUUGUUAGUUGCCAGCGAGUCAUGUCGGGAACUCUAACAAGACUGCCAGUGCAAACUGUGAGGAAGGUGGGGAUGACGUCAAAUCAUCACGGCCCUUACGUCCUGGGCUACACACGUGCUACAAUGGUAGGUACAGAGAGCAGCCACUGCGCGAGCAGGAGCGAAUCUAUAAAACCUAUCACAGUUCGGAUCGGAGUCUGCAACUCGACUCCGUGAAGCUGGAAUCGCUAGUAAUCGGAUAUCAGCCAUGAUCCGGUGAAUACGUUCCCGGGCCUUGUACACACCGCCCGUCAAGCCAUGGAAGUUGGAAGUGCCUGAAGUCCGUCACCGCAAGGAGCGGCCUAGGGUAAAGUCGAUAACUAGGGCUAAGUCGUAACAAGGUAACCAAGGGCGAAUCGUUAAGCUGACGGGGU
rnacentral:rRNA from 1 species